rnacentral:rRNA from 1 species
AUGGUCGACCCGGAGCUCGUGGCGCUCGACCAGGCCGGCUCCGCGCUCCCCACCCGCGGCAACAACGAGUUCAAGCCCUUCAUCCGCCGCCUCCCCGAGUUCAAGUUCUAUCUCGGUGUUGUAUGCAUGGUUCAGAAGUUCAGAUGGGAUUCUACAAUCAGUAUUUACCAGGGUGGUGCGUCGAAGACCUUGUGA